rnacentral:misc_RNA from 1 species
UUAGAUUGGGGGUGAGCUACCAUGGUUUGAACUGUAAAUAUUUAUUAUUGCAUUUCAAGGCCAAUAAGGCAAACUUAUAACCGAGUCCAAUUACAACACAGUAGAAGAGAAAUUAGAGACCCACAAAUCAAGCCCUACAAUAAAAUAAGUCCAAACCAUGGUAGCUCACCCCCAAUCUAAGAACCCUAAACAAACAGAAAAGGGAACAGGACCAAGAAAGCUGUCCAUCUACCACAACAAGCUUGAUCUGCAAUUUGGAAAAUGGGAAGAGAAACAUUUUUUCAUCCCCAACCAAAGCUCUGAUGAAACAUCUGAACAACCAAAGGCCACCCAGAAAAACAUAGAAGCUUAAACAGCAUCAGAUUUCCAAGGCUCCACCACCCGACAUUAAAAGCACAGCUCAACCUCUCCAGGAAGGUGACGCA